GCCGCCGUAGCUCAGCUUUGGGAGAGCGCCCGGCUGAAGACCGGGAGGUCGGGGGUUCAAAUCCCCCCGGCGGCA
rnacentral:tRNA from 2 species